rnacentral:rRNA from 1 species
GACGAACGCUGGCGGCGUGCCUAAUACAUGCAAGUUGAGCGCUGAAGGUUGGUACUUGUACCAACUGGAUGAGCAGCGAACGGGUGAGUAACGCGUGGGGAAUCUGCCUUUGAGCGGGGGACAACAUUUGGAAACGAAUGCUAAUACCGCAUAAAAACUUUAAACACAAGUUUUAAGUUUGAAAGAUGCAAUUGCAUCACUCAAAGAUGAUCCCGCGUUGUAUUAGCUAGUUGGUGGGGUAAAGGCUCACCAAGGCGAUGAUACAUAGCCGACCUGAGAGGGUGAUCGGCCAAAUUGGGACUGAGACACGGCCCAAACGCCUACGGGAGGCAGCAGUAGGGAAUCUUCGGCAAUGGACGAAAGUCUGACCGAGCAACGCCGCGUGAGUGAAGAAGGGUUUCGGAUCGUAAAACUCUGUUGGUAGAGAAGAACGUUGGUGAGAGUGGAAAGCUCAUCAAGUGACGGUAACUACCCAGAAAGGGACGGCUAACUACGUG